rnacentral:rRNA from 1 species
ACUCCUACUGGAGGCAGCGGUGGGGAAUUUUCCGCAAUGGGCGAAAGCCUGACGGAGCAACGCCGCGUGAGGGAUGAAGGCCUCUGGGCUGUAAACCUCUUUUCUCAAGGAAGAAGACCUGACGGUACUUGAGGAAUAAGCCUCGGCUAGUUCCGUGCCAGCAGCCGCGGUAAUAC